UACGAAGGGGGGCUAGCGUUGUUCGGAAUUACUGGGCGUAAAGCGUGCGCAGGCGGUUUUGUAAGUCUGUCGUGAAAUCCCCGGGCUCAACCUGGGAAUUCGCGAUGGAGACUGCAAGGCUAGAAUCUGGCAGAGGGGGGUAGAAUUCCACGUGUGAGCAGUGAAAUGCGUAGAGAUGUGGAGGAACACCGAUGGCGAAGGCAGCCCCCUGGGUCAAGAUGACGC
rnacentral:rRNA from 1 species